GAUGAACGCUGGCGGCGUGCUUAACACAUGCAAGUCGAACGGAAAGGCCCAAGCUUGCUUGGGUACUCGAGUGGCGAACGGGUGAGUAACACGUGGGUGAUCUGCCCUGCACUUCGGGAUAAGCCUGGGAAACUGGGUCUAAUACCGGAUAGGACGAUGGUUUGGAUGCCAUUGUGGAAAGUUUUUUCGGUGUGGGAUGAGCUCGCGGCCUAUCAGCUUGUUGGUGGGGUAAUGGCCUACCAAGGCGUCGACGGGUAGCCGGCCUGAGAGGGUGUACGGACACAUUGGGACUGAGAUACGGCCCAGACUCCUACGGGGGGCAGAAGUGGGGAAUAUUGCACAAUGGGCGCAAGCCUGAUGCAGCGACGCCGCGUGGGGGAUGACGGCCUUCGGGUUGUAAACUCCUUUCGCUAGGGACGAAGCGUUUUUGUGACGGUACCUGGAGAAGAAGCACCGGCUAACUACGUG
rnacentral:rRNA from 1 species